rnacentral:rRNA from 1 species
CGAGGAAUCUUGCGCAAUGGGGGAAACCCUGACGCAGCAACGCCGCGUGAGUGAGGAAGGCCUUCGGGUCGUAAAGCUCUGUCAGAUGGGAAGAAAUGGGUGGGGGCUAAUAUCGUCCAUCCUUGACGGUACCAUCAGAGGAAGCACCGGCUAACUCCGUGCCAGCAGCCGCGGUAAUACGGGGGGUGCAAGCGUUGUUCGGAAUCAUUGGGUGUAAAGCGCGCGCAGGCGGCUUGGUAAGUCAGAUGUGAAAUCCCUGGGCUUAACCCAGGAAGUGCAUUUGAUACUGCCUCGCUAGAGUACGGGAGAGGAAAGUGGAAUUCCUGGUGUAGAGGUGAAAUUCGUAGAUACCAGGAGGAACACCGGUGGCGAAGGCGACUUUCUGGCCCGAUACUGACGCUCAGGGGCGAAAGCGUGGGGAGCAAACAG